UGAAGAUGGAUGAAGAUAGCUGUUUCUUCGGCGAUGGCGGCACUCUAGCUACGUUUCACCGGAAGAGUAGAUGUUUACGAUUCUGGCUGUAUUCUGGAGCGUUUCCUCAUGGGCGUCGCAGUUCACACACGUCACGGAUUCCGCCGAAGGAGUCGAUAAUUAAAACUGAACUUUUGGAUCGGAUAUAUGAAGACGCGCGCUGCAUUUUCCUUGACGGAGACGCACAGCUCUGACACUAGACAAUAUUAUACACUCAAAGGGACCGCGUUUCGCCGGAAGAAUAAAUAAUUACAAAUGGUAUUCGUCAGUGAACAUUUUCAAACUGGGAAUAAUAUAUCAUAAGCAGAUUGAAAUGUGUGAACGUUUCAGUGUUUCGAAGACUAAGUUUCGUAGCAGAUUUUGAUUCCGUCACGGGGU